AAAAGAAGCAGAGGGGGCUUAGUGGUGGGGUGACUGCGUACCUUUUGUAUAAUGGGUCAGCGACUUAUAUUCUGUAGCAAGGUUAACCGUAUAGGGGAGCCGGAGGGAAACCGAGUCUUAAUUGGGCGUUAAGUUGCAGGGUAUAGACCCGAAACCCGGUGAUCUAGCCAUGGGCAGGUUGAAGGUUGGGUAACACUAACUGGAGGACCGAACCGACUAAUGUUGAAAAAUUAGCGGAUGACCUGUGGCUGGGGGUGAAAGGCCAAUCAAACCGGGAGAUAGCUGGUUCUCCCCGAAAGCUAUUUAGGUAGCGCCUCGUGAAUUCAUCUCCGGGGGUAGAGCACUGUUUCGGCUAGGGGGCCAUCCCGGCUUACCAACCCGAUGCAAACUGCGAAUACCGGAGAAUGUUAUCACGGGAGACACACGGCGGGUGCUAACGUCCGUCGUGAAGAGGGAAACAACCCAGACCGCCAGCUAAGGUCCCAAAGUCAUGGUUAAGUGGGAAACGAUGUGGGAAGGCCCAGACAGCCAGGAUGUUGGCUUAGAAGCAGCCAUCAUUUAAAGAAAGCGUAAUAGCUCACUGGUCGAGUCGGCCUGCGCGGAAGAUGUAACGGGGCUAAACCAUGCACCGAAGCUGCGGCAGCGACACUCAGGUGUUGUUGGGUAGGGGAGCGUUCUGUAAGCCUGUGAAGGUGGCCUGUGAGGGUUGCUGGAGGUAUCAGAAGUGCGAAUGCUGACAUAAGUAACGAUAAAGCGGGUGAAAAGCCCGCUCGCCGGAAGACCAAGGGUUCCUGUCCAACGUUAAUCGGGGCAGGGUGAGUCGACCCCUAAGGCGAGGCCGAAAGGCGUAGUCGAUGGGAAACGGGUUAAUAUUCCCGUACUUGGUGUUACUGCGAAGGGGGGACGGAGAAGGCUAUGUUGGCCGGGCGACGGUUGUCCCGGUUUAAGCGUGUAGGUGUGUGUUCCAGGUAAAUCCGGUUCACUUUAACACUGAGGCGUGAUGACGAGGCACUACGGUGCUGAAGCAACAAAUGCCCUGCUUCCAGGAAAAGCCUCUAAGCAUCAGGUAACAUCAAAUCGUACCCCAAACCGACACAGGUGGUCAGGUAGAGAAUACCAAGGCGCUUGAGAGAACUCGGGUGAAGGAACUAGGCAAAAUGGUGCCGUAACUUCGGGAGAAGGCACGCUGACAUGUAGGUGAAGUGAUUUACUCAUGGAGCUGAAGUCAGUCGAAGAUACCAGCUGGCUGCAACUGUUUAUUAAAAACACAGCACUGUGCAAACACGAAAGUGGACGUAUACGGUGUGACGCCUGCCCGGUGCCGGAAGGUUAAUUGAUGGGGUCAGCGCAAGCGAAGCUCCUGAUCGAAGCCCCGGUAAACGGCGGCCGUAACUAUAACGGUCCUAAGGUAGCGAAAUUCCUUGUCGGGUAAGUUCCGACCUGCACGAAUGGCGUAAUGAUGGCCAGGCUGUCUCCACCCGAGACUCAGUGAAAUUGAACUCGCUGUGAAGAUGCAGUGUACCCGCGGCAAGACGGAAAGACCCCGUGAACCUUUACUAUAGCUUGACACUGAACAUUGAGCCUUGAUGUGUAG
rnacentral:rRNA from 1 species